GAUGAGGCAUGCAAGUCGAACGGAAUAAUGACUUCGGUUGUUAUUUAGUGGCGGAAGGGUUAGUAAUACAUAGAUAAUCUGUCCUCAACUUGGGAAUAACGGUUGGAAACGACCGCUAAUACCGAAUGUGGUAUGUUUAGGCAUCUAAAACAUAUUAAAGAAGGGGAUCUUCGGACCUUUCGGUUAAGGAAGAGUCUAUGGGAUAUCAGCUUGUUGGUGGGGUAAUGGCCUACCAAGGCUUUGACGUCUAGGCGGAUUGAGAGAUUGACCGCCAACACUGGGACUGAGACACUGCCCAGACUUCUACGGAAGGCUGCAGUCGAGAAUCUUUCGCAAUGGACGAAAGUCUGACGAAGCGACGCCGCGUGUGUGAUGAAGGCUCUAGGGUUGUAAAGCACUUUCGCUUGGGAAUAAGAGAAAUUGGCUAAUAUCCAAUUGAUUUGAGCGUACCAGGUAAA
rnacentral:rRNA from 1 species